AUGUUGUCUUUGGACUAUUAUGCACUUUCUUUACUGAUUCUCACCAUUCUAACAGGUGUCAGCUGUGAAGAUCUCACUCCAAAUCAAAAAGAAGUGUUCAGUGUAGAAGGCAGCACUGGUACUCUGUCCUAUAGAUUAUCCAGAGAAGCAACUGGAAAUGAUUAUUUCUUCUGGUAUCGACAAUAUCCUGGAAAACCACCAGAGUUCCUGAUCUAUCAUUUAUCAUCAGGAAAAGUAAUGAAAGAAGAAAUCUCUGGACUGUCUGUUUAUGUAAGUGCAGAUAAAACACUGAUGACUCUUCAGAUCUCCUCUGCUGCAGUGACAGACUCUGCUGUGUACUACUGUGCUGUGAGGCCCACAGUGACAGGAAACACCAAAACUCUGUACAAAAACCUUUGGAGCAAAGACAACAGAAUACUCCACAACAUCCACUAGAGGGAGCCACACACUGUUAAACCUCUGAUUCUUGUGUCAUUGGACUGAUGACAAAGACAACAGAGAAAUGAAGCAGUAAAGAUCAGAGACAGAGACAGAGCUGCUGUGGAAGCACAAAACUAUUUG